AGGAAAAGUAAGAGUAUUCUGAAGGGCAGGGUCUGAUUCUUUCUAAAUUCAACCCUACUAGGGGCAGGGUUCUCUAGAGAGUGUUUGUUUGGCAUGAGCUAAGACCUGAGCUCAUGCCCAGUCUCUCUAUCUCUUUCCCUUUCCCCUCUCUCUAACACACACACACAAACACAAACACACACCCCACAGUCACGUGGUACAUCAUCAUGCCUGACCCUACUGGGCUCCAUGGCCCACUAAGAGGGGUUUUCUCCAGAAUGGAGUAAAACAUGACUUCUCUCUUCUUCUCCCUCAGUCUGAGUCAGAGCACAGUGGUUUUGUUUGUGACAGACUGAUGACUUCUGAAUAAGGAGAAAGCCACAGUGCAGAUGCCAACCAGGUCACAAGGGGUGUCUUAUCUCUGGACACACUGGCUUCUCAGAGUCAGUCACAUACAAGCCUUACACCAGCCUUGGGUGUGAGCCAGGGAGCAAUGACAGACAGGCACACAUCACAGACAUGACCCUGAGGUUUGGAGCAGGCAGGUUCGCUGGUCACGGCCACAUGGCAAGUUUCAUCAGACUCCCUGGGGCUAU
rnacentral:lncRNA from 1 species